rnacentral:tRNA from 1 species
GGGGAUAUAGCUCAGUGGUACAGCACUUGCUUAGCACGUGAUAGGCCCUGGGUUCAAUUCCCAGCACCA